UGCCAGCCGCCGCGGUAAUACGGAGGGUGCAAGCGUUGUUCGGAAUUACUGGGCGUAAAGAGCGUGUAGGCGGGAUAGUAAGUCAGAUGUGAAAGCCCUGGGCUUAACCCAGGAAGUGCAUUUGAUACUGUUAUUCUUGAGUAUGGGAGAGGAGAGUGGAAUUCCUAGUGUAGAGGUGAAAUUCGUAGAUAUUAGGAGGAACAUCCGUGGCGAAGGCGACUCUCUGGACCAAUACUGACGCUGAGACGCGAAAGCGUGGGGAGCAAACAGGAUUAGAUA
rnacentral:rRNA from 1 species